CAGCCAUCUUUGAUCAUAUUUACCAAGGGUGCCAAUAAUUCUGAGCACCACUGUAUAGUCAACAGAAUGUUUAAAAGUGACCAUUAAAUUAAAGUGUAACCAAUGUUAAUCAACAGUCAAAGAGCUAUUUAUGCAUUGCCUUAACAAUCUAGCACAAACUCAGCUUUAUUCUGGUAUAAAAUACCUACUUUUUAUCCAAUCAAUUGCAGAUGGAUAAAAUUCAUUUUUUUACACUGAAUAUCAAGUUUCACUUUGAAACACUCCAUAUUACAGAAGUAGAAUGGGUUGCAAAAAGGGCUUCAUGUUGACUUUUAAGUAUCUACAACAACUACAAAAGCAAAAGUCAGCUCUUGAGGAGGUGCAGAGACCACAUUAACAAAUCUAAGGCUAAAAAUACUAAAUCUGUCAAGUGUUAACUACAGUCAGCUGUUGCCUCACCUAUGAAUGAGCUUCCAAGUAUUGUGCUGUGUUGCUAUUUCUACUGCACAGGUCUAACAGCGACCUCCAACAUGUCAGGAUCCGUUAUCACUUUGUGGCACGCAAUGCCAACGAGGUUUCCGUGCAGCAGGGUGAGGUGCUGGAGGUCUUGGAAAACAAUAAACAGUGGCGGCUGCUGAGGAACCGCAGCGGUCAGUCAGGCUAUGUGCCAUGUAAUGUGCUAGAAGAGGUCAAACCAGGAGAGCAGCAGUACAACCGUGCUGCUCUCUUCAACAGCCAGGCUGUGAAUCCUUACAAAGGUACCUCUGCUGGCCCUGUAAAUCACACAGAGGUUUUGGAGAUGAAUAAAUCCUCCCGGGAUAAAGAUAACCGCAACCAACAGAAAGAGGUAAAUGAUGAACUGCUGAAGAGGAUAACUGACAACAAGGCCCAGCCACCAGCUCGAAACUUUCGGGUGGAACGCUCAAGUACAUCCAUGCCCAUCACAUAUGAAUCCCAGCCCUUCGAGGUCCAUGCUUGGCUCAACGCAAAGGGAUUCUCUAAACCGGUGGUGGAAUGUCUGGGUAUUACUGAACGGGGCUCAACUAUUUUCUCUCAGUAAGGAUGAGCUGAAAGCCGUGUGUGGGGACGAGGGCUCCCGUGUCUUCAGUCAGAUCAGUGUGCAGAAAGCUCAAUUAGAGAGGGGUCGUGGGGAUACAGAGCUACAGGAGAUCAUGAGGCGACGACAACAGGAGGUGGAAGGCUCAACCUGGGACUGAUUAUAGUCAAUCAGGCCGUCACUCAUGGCCUUAUUUCAUCGCAUUUUCUUCAGUACUCCUGUUCACCCUACAAUCAACAGCCACCCAGAGGAAUUCAGAACAGAUGGACUAAACAACUCCAAUCAUUACUGAAGCCCAGUCCAGCCUAUUUCCUUUAUGACCCAUACAAUGUAGUGCUUAAACUGAUGAACAUGAAUGCAUUGAGAGUGAAGACUUUAACCUCCAUUUAUAGCGUUGAAAAUUUUGAUAGCAGGCAUUGACUUAUGAUUGGAGCUGUUAAAGGGAUAGUUCACCCAAGAAAUACAGAAAAUUCUGGCAUUAUUUAUUAAACCUCAUGUCAGUUGUUUGCAGUUACUUUUAUGUGGACCCUUCACAUAGCUUUUUUUUUUCAUGAAAUGCAAAUAAUGGUCACGUCUAUCAAGUUUAAGUCAUUAUUCACUGCCCUCCUUUCUAGCUUUUAAAUCAACUAUGCCGCUUUUCAACGGAUCUCAUCAAAUGUCAUUGCUUCUGAGGAUGAGUAAAUAAUGACGUUGAUUCAUUUUCAUUUUAGGAUAAACUAUUUCUUUAAUUUAACAUUUUAAACAAGUCCCGGCAUAAAUAAUAAAUAAAAUGGUGUUAAUUAAUGCAAUGAAGGAUUGUAAUCUAUUAUCAUCUACUUAAUUCAGCUAAAAUGACUACUUGAAUAUUAAUUUUAAACAUUGUGUUAUUUAUUUUUUUAAUUCUUCAGUACACUCAUGCUUCACACUUCAUUAACGCAAAUUAGAUCAUGUUUAUUCAUGUUUAUGAUUAGUAGAGACUAUCAUACUUCAUAAUAAGACACAUAAGAGCUCACAGAUGUAUUGUGAAACCUUCUUUGUACACUAUCUGCACCUUUGAAUUAUGAGUCUGAAAAUAUCUUUUGUCAUUAAACAACAAAAAUUAACCAAUAAACAAA